GUGUUUGCUUUGGCAGCACAUAUACUAAAAUUGGAACGAUACAGAGUAGAUUAGCAUGGCCCCUGCACAAGGAUGACAUACGUAUUCGUGAAGUGUUCCAUGUUUUU
ensembl:snRNA U6 U6 spliceosomal RNA